rnacentral:tRNA from 12 species
CCUUAAAACUACAAAAAGCAGACAAUCUUGUAAAUUGUAAGAUAAAAGGUUUAAGUCCUUUUUAAGGU